GAUGAACGCUGGCGGCGUGCUUAACACAUGCAAGUCGAACGGAAAGGCUCCUGCUUGCAGGGGUACUCGAGUGGCGAACGGGUGAGUAACACGUGGGUGAUCUGCCCUGCACUUCGGGAUAAGCCUGGGAAACUGGGUCUAAUACCGGAUAGGACGAUGGUUUGGAUGCCAUUGUGGAAAGUUUUUCGGUGUGGGAUGAGCUCGCGGCCUAUCAGCUUGUUGGUGGGGUAAUGGCCUACCAAGGCGUCGACGGGUAGCCGGCCUGAGAGGGUGUACGGCCACAUUGGGACUGGGAUACGGCCCAGACUCCUACGGGAGGCAGCAGUGGGGAAUAUUGCACAAUGGGCGCAGGCCUGAUGCAGCGACGCCGCGUGGGGGAUGACGGCCUUCGGGUUGUAAACUCCUUUCGCUAGGGACGAAGCGCAAGUGACGGUACCUGGAGAAGAAGCACCGGCUAACUACGU
rnacentral:rRNA from 1 species